UAAUACGUAGGGGGCAAGCGUUGUUCGGAAUUACUGGGCGUAAAGGGCGCGUAGGCGGCACGACAAGUCGGGAGUGAAAGCCCGGGGCUCAACCCCGGAAUGUCUUUCGAAACUGUCGAGCUAGAGUGCAGAAGAGGCAACUGGAAUUCCCAGUGUAGCGGUGAAAUGCGUAGAUAUUGGGAAGAACACCUGAGGCGAAGGCGGGUUGCUGGGCUGACACUGACGCUGAGGCGCGAAAGCCAGGGGAGCGAACGGGAUUAGAUACCCCGGUAGUCCUGGCCCUAAACGAUGGAUACUUGGUGUGUGGGGUUCUCUAAGUCCCCGCGUGCCGGAGUCAACGCGUUAAGUAUCCCGCCUGGGGAGUACGGUCGCAAGGCUG
rnacentral:rRNA from 1 species